CGCCAGCAGCCGCGGUAAUACGGAGGGUGCAAGCGUUGUUCGGAAUUAUUGGGCGUAAAGGGCGCGUAGGCGGUAAUGAAAGUCAGAUGUGAAAUACUUCGGCUCAACUGAAGAACUGCAUCUGAAACUUCAUAACUAGAGUACGGAAGAGGGAAAUGGAAUUCCCGGUGUAGAGGUGAAAUUCGUAGAUAUCGGGAGGAACACCAGUGGCGAAGGCGAUUUCCUGGUCUGGUACUGACGCUGAGGCGCGAAAGUGUGGGGAGCAAACAGGAUUAGAUACCCUGGUAGUCCACACUGUAAACGGUGAACACUAGGUGUGGGAGGUGUAAUACCUUCUGUGCCGUAGUUAACGCGUUAAGUGUUCCGCCUGGGAAGUACGGCCGCAAGGUUGAAACUCAAAGGAAUUGACGGGGGCCCGCACAAGC
rnacentral:rRNA from 1 species